rnacentral:rRNA from 1 species
GGGCAUGUCUAAGUAUAAAGCAAUUAUACCGCGAAACUGCGAAUGGCUCAUUAAAUCAGUUAUCGUUUAUUUGAUAGUACCUUACUACUUGGAUAACCGUGGUAAUUCUAGAGCUAAUACAUGCUUAAAACCCCGACUCACGGAGGGGUGUAUUUAUUAGAUUAAAAACCAAUGCCCUUCGGGGCUUUUUGGUGAUUCAUAAUAACUUCUCGAAUCGCAUGGCCUUGUGCCGGCGAUGGUUCAUUCAAAUUUCUGCCCUAUCAACUUUCGAUGGCAGGGUCUUGGCCUGCCAUGGUUACAACGGGUAACGGAGGGUUAGGGCUCGACCCCGGAGAAGGAGCCUGAGAAACGGCUACUACAUCCAAGGAAGGCAGCAGGCGCGCAAAUUACCCAAUCCCGAUACGGGGAGGUAGUGACAAUAAAUACUGAUACAGGGCUCUUUUGGGUCUUGUAAUUGGAAUGAGUACAAUUUAAAUCCCUUAACGAGGAACAAUUGGAGGGCAAGUCUGGUGCCAGCAGCCGCGGUAAUUCCAGCUCCAAUAGCGUAUAUUAAAGUUGUUGCAGUUAAAAAGCUCGUAGUUGAACCUUGGGCCUGGCUGGCCGGUCCGCCUCACCGCGUGCACUGGUUCGGCCGGGCCUUUCCCUCUGGGGAAUCCCAUGCCCUUCACUGGGUGUGGCGAGGAACCAGGACUUUUACUGUGAAAAAAUUAGAGUGUUCAAAGCAGGCCUAUGCUCGAAUACAUUAGCAUGGAAUAAUAGAAUAGGACGUGUGGUUCUAUUUUGUUGGUUUCUAGGACCGCCGUAAUGAUUAAUAGGGACAGUCGGGGGCAUCAGUAUUCAAUUGUCAGAGGUGAAAUUCUUGGAUUUAUUGAAGACUAACUACUGCGAAAGCAUUUGCCAAGGAUGUUUUCAUUAAUCAGGAACGAAAGUUAGGGGAUCGAAGACGAUCAGAUACCGUCGUAGUCUUAACCAUAAACUAUGCCGACUAGGGAUCGGACGAUGUUAUUUUUUGACUCGUUCGGCACCUUACGAGAAAUCAAAGUUUUUGGGUUCUGGGGGGAGU